UACGGGGGGAGCAAGCGUUGUUCGGAUUUACUGGGCGUAAAGGGCGCGUAGGCGGUCAGCACAAGUCAGUUGUGAAAUCUCCGGGCUUAACUCGGAAAGGUCAACUGAUACUGUGCGACUAGAGUGCGGAAGGGGCAACUGGAAUUCUCGGUGUAGCGGUGAAAUGCGUAGAUAUCGGGAGGAACACCAGUGGCGAAGGCGAGUCUCUGGGCUGAUACCGACGCUGAGGCGCGAAAGCCAGGGGAGCAAACGGG
rnacentral:rRNA from 1 species